GGAUUCGAGGCCAGUCUGGCCUCUACAUCUGCACCAGCCUAUCGGUCUCCAGGGUUGACUCAGCCAAUCUGGCUGGCGAGGUGGGCGUCCCUUUCCUGCCUAAGCACUCCACGUGUGGCCCUCCCGAGGCAGCACACCUGGUGGGAGACCAAGUGUGGUCAAGGGUUCACAUGGCGGUGCUCCCCUGCUAGCACCUCCAAACAUUCACACAGGAGGGACUGGCUCUUCCCAGCAGAGGGCUUGGGAGACCCCAGCUU
rnacentral:snRNA from 1 species